UGUAUCUGCAUAUCGUGUAAAUUGUGGCAAUCCGAGCACCACGCCUACUGGUUAAGUAGACACACACCUGGACUACGUUUCGAAUUAGAAUUAGUUGUAAAAUGUGUGCUCUUUUCGGCAGUAGGCGUCUGAGACCGGGGAACCACGGAUUAGAGAGCUGUUCUUCAGAUAGAUGGAGCUGAAAGCCAAAGAGCUGGAAAGCAACAGAGCUGAAUAGUGACAGAGCAAAAGCCACACAGUGAAAGCUACAGUUUGGUUUGGCUUGCCUUCAUUAUUUUAGUUUGUUAUUUUGACCUCAAUCCCGUGAGGGUGAUGGGAGACUUUUUGUUUAUUUUUAAGAGUUCGCUCUCACUCCCUCUCAUUCCCCCUCUGCACUGUGAAUAAAAUGCCCGGUGCAAUCCGGACUUUCGAUAUCUCCCUGUCUCCAGACUCAUCUAUACUCUCAGGGGUGUGUCACAGAAUGUGACAGUUUGGUGCCAAAACCCGGGAUAGACGAGUCUCUGAAGAUGGAAACUUCUCCGCUAGUGUAGAUGGUGCAGCAGCAAACCCAGAAGCAGGAAUCGCAGCAUCAAGCUCUCCGCAGCCUGCAGGACAAUCGUCAACAGGCGAUGCAGGCAAUGGCGGUGUGGAAAGAAAGCGGAUCGAGCUGUCCUGACGGAACUGCUAGAGAAGUGGACAUCUGGUAAUCUGGUCCUAUCUCAGACCCAUUUUUUAGAUGCAUUCAUGCUGCGAAUUUCCCGUUCUACCACAUCCCAAAGAUGUUCCAUUGGAUCCAGAUCUGAUGACUGGGAAGGCCACUGAAGACCGUUGAACUCAUUUUCAUGUUCCUGAAACCAGUUUGAGACAACUUUGAUUUUGUGACAUGGUGCAUUAUCAUGCUGGAAGUAGCCAUUAGAAGAUUGUGGCUUUGACAGGAUGCACAUGGUCAGUAUCAAUACUCAAAUAAGCUGCAGCAUUCAAGCGAUGAUUGAUUGGUAUUAAUGGGCCAAAAAUGUGCCAAUAACACAUUCCCCACACCAUUACACCACCACCACCAGCCUGGAUUGUUGACACAAGGCAAGUUGGAUCCAUGGAUUCAUGCUGUUGGCGCCAAAUUUGGGCCAAGGCCCUCUGGCAUUUUGUACCUGUUAAAGGAAACUUUGGAGGAGAGUCAAAGCCAAAGUAAAAAGGAAAUUCAAUAUGUGUUUGACCUGCUAGCAAAGCUACACUCACUGCAAAAUAAAUACAUCACAAAAGACUGCUUGAUCUGCGAUGAUUAGUAUUUAUUUAAAUUCUUGUUCUGUUAAAUUGAUUGGCUGUUCAUGGGCAAUUUGCUCAAUAAAACCAUAUUGGAAAUAAUGUAUUAAAUUUGUUUUAUUCAGUAGGCAUAAGCUAUUCAUUGUCUGGGGUCUAUGUGAGCAGUGUACCUGCACACUUCAAUAUUUGUUUAUUUAUCGUCAUAUCAUAAUUGCAACAUUCAACAAUGUUAUUGCAUAUUUUCCUCAUAUCGUGCAGCCCUACUAUUAAGUGAUUGAAUACCCCUGACUAAUCCAGAAACAGCUGAGAAGCCAACUACUCACUAAAAUGGGGGGCUAUGUAUAAAAAUUGAUGUAGUUCCUACACAGAUCACCUGAUAUGGAUGUAAAUAUGCUCAAGUUAAUAUGCAAUUUAACCUCGUAUUAAUUGUUUCAUUGAAAAUCAAAUGAGCUGAAGUACAGAGCCAAAAGAAUAGGCAUUGCACCACUGUCCAAAUACUCAUGGACUGCUCUUUAUAUCCCUUUUUGUGUGUGUUUAGCAUAGCUAUCAGUAUGUGUGUACCACUUAUAGUAUGUAUAUGCCUGUCUCAGUGCAUCUGCUGCCUAUUUGUACAGCAGGGUGUACAUGUAGUAAGUGAGAGAGAAUGUUUGUACCUGUGUGUGUGUGUGUGUGUGUGUGUGCGCGUGCAUAGUUGAUUCAUGCACAUUGAAUUGUAUGAUUCCUUGUUCUGUCUAGUUAUCAUUAAGAGUCUUUAGAUCAGGGGUCUCAAAGUCUACUGGAAUGCCACAAUCUCUGCAGGUUUAUUGGAUAUCCUUUCAAUCGGCAGCCAAUUGAGGCCUUGGAAAUUAGGUAUGCAGUCUCUUUAGCCAAUCGAUGACUUAAGUCAAGCACAUAAGUGCUGGAGCACAUGACAAACCAGCAGCAGACUCAGCGGCCAUCCAGGAUUUCAGUUUGAGAUCCCUGCAUUUAGCGUAGAUGGCUUGAUGUAUAGCUGUCCUGUAAGCAAAAAAAAUGCAGUUUAGUCAGUACUGUAGAUCGGCUAAUAUGACUGGUUGUGGAUGAGCAAAUAUGAUGUCAGGUAGUGGAUCAGUUAAUCUGAUUGCUCUAACAUGGACCAUUCCCAUCUACAUGUACCUUUGUGAUUUAGGGAAUUUUAUUAUCUGCUUUUAUGAUUAUUUCUGUUUAUGAUGGAGCUAUAAAACAAAUAUUGCCAUUUUAACACAAAUACUGUAGAAAGUGUUUCUUUUUUAAUAAAUAGCAUAAUUGCUGCCGGUAUAAAGUGGUGAAUACAAAACUCACAUUAAUGUCACAACUAUGUGACAAAUAUAUCUUAUUUGCACAGUUUGACUACAAAGUUACAAAGUUAAUGUUUGUUUUCAUGUGUUGAAUUUUAAAGAGCAUGUUCUGCCAAUUCCUCUUCAUACAUUGUCCCUUGCUUCAGUCAUGUUGAGGGGGUUAAUUUCCACACCAAACAACUCAGUUCCCAGUUAAGCAUAAAACCGCUCAACCAUACGUGAAUCUUGGAUACUUUUGUGAGAUAUAUUGCUGUGAAAUCUGCAAUAUCAACUCUGUUAAACAGAAAGAAACUUUCGAUACAUAUUGUAUGGCUUGCUCACUACAUUUCUACCUUUGUAAAGAUCAGCUAGCAAGCUAGUUAACAUUAACAUAACACAAAUGAAUAUAACAAUGAAUUGGCUCACUGCCUACAGAAAUGAUUUUUGACUAGCUAUACUAUGCUGGCUAGCUAACAAUGAUGUCAUGACGCAAGUUAUUCUUACCAGCUGUUUUAAAAACUGUUUAGAAUAAUUAAACAGUAUAGACACUUCCGUAUCACAGGGUACCAGUUAUGGAUGUGAAACUGUAGGGAUGUAGAAGUUCUUCUAAAAAUAAUAUCUUGUUCUAAUGUUUUUAUGUUCAAAUCUUAUGGGUAAUGAUUUGCAGGGCCUUUGUUCUGUAAAAUUAUAUUGAUAUACCUCCUUCAUUUCUGCAGAAUGGAUGAAUCAGCUAAUGUGUGAGGUUGGCUGUGAAAUUUUGAAUGAAUGGUGAAAUAUUGUUUUUGUAGGUAUCUGAUAUCUGAUUUGCAGAUUGGUCCAUCACAUGCAGUUGUCUUCUUCUCUGAAUGAGCAGGUGGGUCUGGCACAUGUGACUGUGAUGCAUAAUGUUGCACAAAUAAUCGCACAAAAGGGACUGCAAUGGAACGAAACUAUACGAAGCAUAUAUAUCACACCAAUAUGGAUUUCUUCUGAAACUCCCAUAAAAGUAUCUCUCCAUGAAGAAUCAUUUUGGUAUCAACAACUCCACAGCCCUUGUCUCUCUUCUUCUGUGCUUUUCUCCUUGUGCUGUCUGGACUUCCAUGGUUGAUAGUGUAUAUUUGUGUACAGGUGUAUAUUUAAAUUGUUAAAACAUUGACUGGACUGUGUAUCGGCACUUUAUUCUGUCUGUACUUUGAGGUGCUGACAGGGGGGAAUGAUGUGUUAUUAUAUGGGGGAUAGGUGGGAUGCAGUGAUGUAAAGAGGAUAUUAUUAUUGCUCCACACCAACUGUUGUCAAACCUCACCCAGUCACUCCAUGGGUGAUGGUGUGGUAUGUACAUACACAAUGUUAUUGGUGUUCUAAAUGGUAUGGUUCUAGGGGUGUCAAAUUUGAGUGUGACUUAGUGUGGUUGUGCGAAUCAAGAAAAGAUAAAUGGAUUCACACACCCUUCACCUCUACUCUUGGUUUAGUAUGUUUUUCUUUUAUUUCUUUUUUUACCAAUUCACCACAAUAAUCAUCAUCUCUUUAAACCUUUAAAUCACCUAAAGUGAUGAAAUUACCUGAAUCUUCAGCCUUUUUCUUAGAACAGUGGGGUUUUACUCCUGUUCCAUGUUCAGAAGUUAUUACAAUUAUAGUAAAUGUGAAAAAACACAAUAACAUUGAUUGUAAUAUUUGUACAUUCUAGUGCUGUAUUGUGUUUAAUGUGUCCAGAUUAUUUUUUUAUUAUAUUAAUUUUAUAAUAUGUUUAAUAUUUUAUUUGAGAGCCUGUAUUAUUUUGUGGAUAAUAAGCUAACAUAUAUGUAUGAUUAUAUAUAUAUAGUUUUCUUUUAUUUCACUGUACUGUACUGAGAAAAUGUGUUAAAAUACAAAUAAAUUAAGCUUUUUAAAAAAGAAA